rnacentral:rRNA from 1 species
UACGUAGGGUGCGAGCGUUUAAUCGGAAUUACUGGGCGUAAAGCGUGCGCAGGCGGUUCGUUGUGUCGGCGGUGAAAGCCCCGGGCUCAACCUGGGAAUGGCCGUUGAAACUGGCGAACUGGAGUGUGGCAGAGGGGGGGGUGGAAUUCCGCGUGUAGCAGUGAAAUGCGUAGAGAUGCGGAGGAACACCGAUGGCGAAGGCAGCCCCUGGGCUGACACUGACGCUCAGGCACGAAAGCGUGGGGAGCAAACAGG